GGCAUUGUCAACAACGUCAAACUUGACGAAACGUUACAACACUAGUGUUAAAACUGCACACAUUUCUCGACACAUCAGAGUGAGCAUACGGAGCGGCAGUUUAUAACUAUGCGCUGCAGUUUUAAGAGCUGAACUAACCAACAGAGUCAGAAAGGUUUUCGCAUGCCUAAUGAUACGGGUAUCUUCGGCAGUUACAACUGUAGUCCUCACCUGGAUAAAUGAAUCACCAUCAUCAAACAACACUUUUGCGGCGAACCGGAUUGCUAAAAUCCAAGCUGAUUCACACCAAUCUCAAAGACGUCAUGUAUCAUCGGCAAACAACCCGGCAGGUGUUCUAUUGCGAUGGAGUGCCGCAUGUUAUUUAGCUGAGCAUAACAUCUGGGUAUAUGAAACAAUAUUGCUACACUGUUCCCGCGACAUGUGGUCAAAAGUACCGACCAUCGUCGCCAGCGAACUGGAACGGGUUCUGAAGCAAUUAAUAAAUUCAUUUCCAGAAUCGCUUUUUAACCUGGACUCUUUUUUAACCUAGAGGGUGUGAACGGAAGGCCAUUAUAUAUCCAGUAUUUAUUUACUUCUUAAUUGAUUGACGAGACAACAGCCGGAAAGAAAGACACGUAACAUACUUUUAGGGGAAAUACAAGAAGUUAUGCUAAGAAAAAUUGUGGUAAUCAUUAAACAA